UCGCACCUACCGAUUGGAUGGUCCGGUGAGGCCUCGGGAUUGUGGCUGCUGGCAUUAACUUGUUGGCGGCCGCGAGAACUUGUCCAAACCUUAUCAUCUAGAGGAAGGUG
rnacentral:rRNA from 1 species